rnacentral:tRNA from 1 species
GCCGGGGUGGCCGAGCGGCCCAAGGCGACGGAUUGCUAAUCCGUUUCCCGAAAGGGAACCCGGGUUCAAAUCCCGGCCCCGGCGCCA